UACAGAGGGUGCGAGCGUUGUCCGGAAUCACUGGGCGUAAAGGGCGCGUAGGUGGCGACCCAAGUCGAUGGUGAAAGCUCGCCGCUCAACGGCGAGUCGGCCACCGAUACUGGGUUGCUCGAGCACUGUAGAGGCUAAUGGAAUUCCGGGUGUAGCGGUGGAAUGCGUAGAGAUCCGGAAGAACACCGGUGGCGAAGGCGGUUAGCUGGGCAGUUGCUGACACUGAGGCGCGACAGCGUGGGGAGCAAACA
rnacentral:rRNA from 1 species